rnacentral:rRNA from 1 species
CAGUCGCCGCGGUAAGACGAACCGUGCGUACGUUAUUCGGAAUCACUGGGCUUAAAGCGCGUGUAGGCGGGAGGGCACGUCCGUCGCUGAAAUCCCCCGGCUCAACCGGGGAACGGGCGCGGAUACGACUCUUCUGGAGGAACGUAGGGGGACCUGGAACUUCCGGUGGAGCGGUGAGAUGCGUUGAGAUCGGAAGGAACGCCCGUGGCGAAAGCGAGGUCCUGGACGUUUACUGACGCUGAGACGCGAAAGCCAGGGGAGCGAACGGGAUUAGAUACCCCGGUAGUCCCUGUCUCUUAUU